rnacentral:rRNA from 1 species
AGGAUGAACGCUGGCGGCGUGCCUAACACAUGCAAGUCGAGCGAUUCUCUUCGGAGAAGAGCGGCGGACGGGUGAGUAACGCGUGGGUAACCUGCCCUGUACACACGGAUAACAUACCGAAAGGUAUGCUAAUACGGGAUAACAUGAGAGAGUCACAUGGCUUUCUUAUCAAAGCUUUUGCGGUACAGGAUGGACCCGCGUCUGAUUAGCUAGUUGGUAAGGUAACGGCUUACCAAGGCGACGAUCAGUAGCCGACCUGAGAGGGUGAUCGGCCACAUUGGAACUGAGACACGGUCCAAACUCCUACGGGAGGCAGCAGUGGGGAAUAUUGCACAAUGGGCGAAAGCCUGAUGCAGCAACGCCGCGUGAGCGAUGAAGGCCUUCGGGUCGUAAAGCGCUGUCCUCAAGGAAGAUAAUGACGGUACUUGAGGAGGAAGCCCCGGCUAACUACGUGCCAGCAGCCGCGGUAAUACGUAGGGGGCUAGCGUUAUCCGGAAUUACUGGGCGUAAAGGGUGCGUAGGUGGUUUCUUAAGUCAGAGGUGAAAGGCUACGGCUCAACCGUAGUAAGCCUUUGAAACUGAGAAACUUGAGUGCAGGAGAGGAGAGUAGAAUUCCUAGUGUAGCGGUGAAAUGCGUAGAUAUUAGGAGGAAUACCAGUUGCGAAGGCGGCUCUCUGGACUGUAACUGACACUGGGGCACGAAAGCGUGGGGAGCAAACAGGAUUAGAUACCCUGGUAGUCCACGCCGUAAACGAUGAGUACUAGCUGUCGGAGGUUACCCCCUUCGGUGGCGCAGCUAACGCAUUAAGUACUCCGCCUGGGAAGUACGCUCGCAAGAGUGAAA